rnacentral:rRNA from 1 species
UCGCCCUUAGAGUUUGAUCCUGGCUCAGGAUGAACGCUAGCUACAGGCUUAACACAUGCAAGUCGAGGGGGAACGAUAGAGAAAGCUUGCUUUUUCUAGGCGUCGACCGGCGCACGGGUGAGUAACGCGUAUCCAACCUGCCCAUCACUUGGGGAUAACCUUGCGAAAGUAAGACUAAUACCCAAUGACGUCUCUAGAAGACAUCUGAAAGAGAUUAAAGAUUUAUCGGUGAUGGAUGGGGAUGCGUCUGAUUAGCUUGUUGGCGGGGUAACGGCCCACCAAGGCUACGAUCAGUAGGGGUUCUGAGAGGAAGGUCCCCCACAUUGGAACUGAGACACGGUCCAAACUCCUACGGGAGGCAGCAGUGAGGAAUAUUGGUCAAUGGGCGAGAGCCUGAACCAGCCAAGUAGCGUGCAGGAUGACGGCCCUAUGGGUUGUAAACUGCUUUUAUAAGGGAAUAAAGUGAGCCUCGUGAGGCUUUUUGCAUGUACCUUAUGAAUAAGGACCGGCUAAUUCCGUGCCAGCAGCCGCGGUAAUACGGAAGGUCCGGGCGUUAUCCGGAUUUAUUGGGUUUAAAGGGAGCGUAGGCCGGAGAUUAAGCGUGUUGUGAAAUGUAGAUGCUCAACAUCUGCACUGCAGCGCGAACUGGUUUCCUUGAGUACGCACAAAGUGGGCGGAAUUCGUGGUGUAGCGGUGAAAUGCUUAGAUAUCACGAAGAACUCCGAUUGCGAAGGCAGCUCACUGGAGCGCAACUGACGCUGAAGCUCGAAAGUGCGGGUAUCGAACAGGAUUAGAUACCCUGGUAGUCCGCACGGUAAACGAUGGAUGCCCGCUGUUGGUCUGAAUAGGUCAGCGGCCAAGCGAAAGCAUUAAGCAUCCCACCUGGGGAGUACGCCGGCAACGGUGAAACUCAAAGGAAUUGACGG